AUGUGGAACGCGGCUGGAAUAACUAAUGUUAGUUAACCAGCUACUGUGUCCAGUGAGUAGCUAGCUAUUGAUACAUCGCGACACCUAGUUUACAAACAACAGGAGUCACAUUCAUUUAAGCUGUCAACGUGUUGCAAACUGGUUGACUGAUAUACAGUACUGAUUGCUUGCAAGAAGAUUAACGUCAGAUAGCGAAUGUUAGCACGUUGCUGAGGGAGGAGGAUUGGUGAGAUGGACCGAGGGAAAAAACAUUCCAUCAAUUGUUAUUGUAAUCGCUGGUGCCGACCCGGCUCUCUCCUCUCCUGCAAUGUUCGUCUCAGACUCCGUGCGGAUAUCUGAAAAAUGACUGAUCACUAUUCCAAACAUGCAGAUCCGCUUAGACCCUCCAGUCCAGAACCUACCCCUCCAAAAUGGCGUACGAAAAAGACCGGAAGUGACAUAUGUAUCCAAUUAGCAUAAGAGACCUAUUGUGCCGAUCGAGACAAGUUGAGUUGAAGAAUACUAGCUGACAAGGACCCGGGGGGUACCUAAACUUUACCUGCUGGAGAAACAUAUAUGCUCACAAUGGAUUUCUCUUUCAGUAGGCUAUAAAACAACAUUAGUCGGAGGCUGUUUUUCCAAGUGCAUGAAAUAUAGGGUACAAAUGUAAGUACCAACUUGCAGCCAAUAGGGGGCAUCAUUGCUUCGAGCUUUGUAACUAUGCUUUGGUGACCAAUUCAAAAUGGAAUGACGAACGCAUGCGUUGAAAGCCUACAUCUGGCGCCUUCCCCUGGCGGAUGGUCGGAUGUAUACAGUGCCUCACAACUUCCACAGCGUUGAACGGAUGGAUUCGUUCACAUGGCGGCGCUGUGCAUAUCAUUGUGCAUGACUCACCCGGACUACUUUUUUUUUCUUUAUUUUUUUGUAGGUGUGGAGCAGUGAUUAUACCAGCAUAAUUUACGUGCUUUAUCCACGAAUAGAAGAUUGGAUGAUGGUUGACCCAUAAUGGUUCAGGGGUCACAUGCAAAAUAUGGUUUAUAUUGGCUGUUGGUUUACUGUAACUUCAGUUCAGUCCCUCUGAAUUCUUGUAGGGAUGACAACAUUUGCUCUAUUUUAUUUCAAGGCCAAACUAGCCUGCUACUUAAUACACUAUGGCUGUUGCAUCUAUUUUUCUCCUGUAAAAUGGAUUACAGAAAGUAUGCCGGUGUAUACAUAACUGAAAGGUGUAUGAAAAUAAUGCAUAAAAUAUAAACCCUGAUACAUCACACUUCAAAAUUCA